UGGGGAAUAUUGCACAAUGGGCGCAAGCCUGAUGCAGCCAUGCCGCGUGUAUGAAGAAGGCCUUCGGGUUGUAAAGUACUUUCAGUCGGGAGGAAGGUGUCAAGGUUAAUAACCUUGGCAAUUGACGUUACCGUCAGAAGAAGCACCGGCUAACUCCGUGCCAGCAGCCGCGGUAAUACGGAGGGUGCAAGCGUUAAUCGGAAUUACUGGGCGUAAAGCGCACGCAGGCGGUUGAUUGAGUCAGAUGUGAAAUCCCCGGGCUUAACCCGGGAAUUGCAUCUGAUACUGGUCAGCUAGAGUCUUGUAGAGGGGGGUAGAAUUCCAUGUGUAGCGGUGAAAUGCGUAGAGAUGUGGAGGAAUACCGGUGGCGAAGGCGGCCCCCUGGACAAAGACUGACGCUCAGGUGCGAAAGCGUGGGGAGCAAACAGG
rnacentral:rRNA from 1 species